rnacentral:rRNA from 1 species
GACGAACCGUCCAAACGUUAUUCGGAAUCACUGGGCUUAAAGGGUGCGCAGGCGGCGCGGCAAGUUGGAUGUGAAAGCCCUCGGCUCAACCGAGGAAUUGCGUCCAAAACUGCCGUGCUUGAGUGAGGCAGAGGUGAGCGGAACUUAGGGUGGAGCGGUGAAAUGCGUUGAUAUCCUAAGGAACACCGGUGGCGAAAGCGGCUCACUGGGCCUUAACUGACGCUCAUGCACGAAAGCUAGGGUAGCGAACGGG